UUUCUACUGGACCGCAACUGGGUGUUGCUUC
rnacentral:piRNA from 1 species